CCCUUUUCACUUUGAAAAAAAUAUGAAAUUUACAGUUUCUGUUCAUUAUCUACCCAACAGUGUUACAUAUUCAACUCAAAUUUGAAAUAUGGAUAUGUCAAAUGAAUGGGCAGGUCAAGUUGGAAUUUGGUCAUGGUUCGAUGAUUUUUUGGCAGAGUUAUGUCCCUUUCACUUUGAAAAUAAUAUAGAUACAUCUUAGGAAUAGGCAGUUUAAGUUUGAAUUUGGUCGUGGUUCAAUGACUUUGGAUAAACUUAUCUUUCUUGAAUAUUGGAAAAAAUUUUGAACAUUCAGAUUCAGCACUCAUACUUUUGUGGAAAUGUAUGUAGCCAUUAUUUUGGCUACAAAUAUGAAAUAUGCUAUUUUCAAAAGGUUAAGACUGAAUAAUUUCAGUGCUUUGAACAUUGUAUGAAAAUGGUUUGUGUUAACAUUGAAAAGUUUUAAGGGCUUUGAACUUAAAAUGAAAACAAUAAUUUGUGCAAACAAAUUUGGAACUAAAUAUAAUAACAUCUGAAAUUUUGGCUGCAUGCGGGGGCAUCCGUGGCAUGAUGACACAUUUCUAGUUUCCUUCUAUAACAGGGGCUAUUAUAAUUAAAGGCCCCUUCACAAUUCAAAAUUGCACCUUCCGGUAAAAUUAAAUUGAUUUAUGCCAAUUGCAAUAACACAGAAAUAGUUUUAAUCAAGUUUAAUGAUUUUUGCGCAUGUUCACCGGGUACCGACUUGAAGCAGAUUUUACACAGGUCAGAAAUUAUAAUCAACUGUUUCCAGUUUCAAAAUGUUGCCAAAUGCCAGGAAAUAUGUCAUUUUUUUUCACAAUUUAAUGACAUAUCUCGCUUUUUUUCACAAAAUGAACAGGCCCAGGCCCCUCCACAAUUUUGACAAAAAAUGCUCUGGUCUUAGCUUUAAAUUCUCUUUCCAGUUACAGUUUAUGUGAGAUUUAGUGAGCAUCUUAAAUAGUUUGAUGGAAUAAUUGUUACAGGGACUUGUGUUUCCUACAACUUUUACAUUAUUGUAUUUUUUCCUCAUAAACAUAUUAAUUUUUAAUAGCAAUUAUUGUAACAUUUUCAUAGUAAGACUAUCAACAAGCACCAGAAACAUUAUAUUUUGGGUAAUGCUAUCAUAAAAAAACUUUUGGGCAAAUUUGCUUUAUUUUAAGUUCUUGUAAAUACACAAAAAUGUAAUUGCAAAUUCAAUAUAUUUUUUGAAAAGAAAAAAGCCUGCAUUACAUGUACUUUUGAAAAAUAAGAAAGUACUGUGCAGCAGGCACAUAACUUUUUUAUUAAUUCAUGGAUUUGAUUUAUACUCGGGCAAAAGAACUCUCAUAACAAAACCGACAUGUUGACUAUUUAAGAUUUAACCUUGAUCUUUAUAUGACCAUAAAUGUCAAGGUUAAAAUAUUGACCUUAUCUUAGAUUGUCAUCACUCUUAUUUAUUCAAGGAUUUGAUUUAUACCGGGAAAAAAAAUCUUAUGACAAAACACAUAUUUUCCAUGAUUUUUAUUUGACCUUGACCAUCAUAAUUUGUCCUUGACUGUCAAGGUUAAGUUAUUGAAAUUUGCUUUAAUUUUCAUAUUUUUUUUUGUACAGAUUUUGUUCAUACAUGUACUUGGACAAAACGAGCAUUUUGAAUUAUUUAAAAAUGACCUAGUCCUUUGAAAUUUGCCUUAAUUGUAAUAACUCUCGAUGAAUCUCAUGUUAAAUAUGAUAUUUGUCAGAAUUAUAUUUUGUUUAACACAGUUACGUUUUCUAGGAGUAUUAUGUAUGUACUAAAUUUUUUUUUCCAGCGUGUUUAUAAUGCUGCAAAAUUAAAUAUAAGAAGAGAUGAUAGACACACUGACCAUAGUGUUUGCAGAAGCGGUUGGUCCAUCUCAGCCGUGGUGGAGUAUUCGUCGCAGAAGCUGUGGAUAAAAUAUGGCCGUUUGCUGUUGUCAAUCUACCUAUCAUUUUUACCAGUCGGGCAUAAGCAUGAAGAUAAGAUACCUCCUUAAACAAGAAACUUCACUCUACGGAUUGUGAGACAAGGCCAGAUCUUAAAGUUAUUGAAGGAUGCACAAAUGAUAGAUGCAAUGGCCAACUAAAAAGAAUGGAUGAACAAAAUUUAUCAUUUGAGGCUUCUCUACCGGACAUUUUGCUUGGGUUAGGGCUUUGGGCCUUAUAUUUAGCGUAUGUAGCGAAGACCUACAAAAAUAAUAGUAAUACAAAAACAAAUCUGCAACAGAAUCACACAAAUGUUGUUAAAACUAUUUAAUAGAGAAAAUAGUUCUUUUUAAGAAAAUGUGUACAUUUUAUACAAAGAAAGAACUAAUGGAAGGACUAAAAAAUGAACAUGCCACAUGCAUAUCUCCCAGGUGUUUUGCUUGGGUUAGGGCUUAAAUUAAUCUUACAUUGCUGUAAAAAAGACCUACCAAACUAUUGCAAUAACAAAUCUGGACUCAGACAAAUAGUGUUUAAAUGAUUGGCUGGAGAAAAUGGUGCUUUUUACAAAAAAUUAUACAUUAUAAACAUGUACAGAGCUCAACAAGUAAACCUGACUUAGCACUACAAAUUUGUAAAAAGUUAUUUGAAUAUUGUUUUCACAAAGGCAGACUUGGGAAAAAGUAAGCGACACCUGCCCUGAUUUAAAGCGGAUUCUCUUUUUGGCAGAUUUUAGAUUGUUGAUAUUUCAAGAAUAGAAAAACGGAAACAAACAGUGAGUUAUUUAUUAUCUGGAAAUGAAGAUGCAGUGGUAUUUUGGAGAAAAAAAAUAUCAAAUGAAUUAUAUGUUGUUAAUUAAAGAGAAAAAAUUGCUUGAUAAGAUCUUGCAAGGUUGUUCAGAAUUUGUUAUACUUCAUGUGCAAUAAGUUAAUUUUCUGCCAGCAGAACAGAAUCAUUUAUGAUUAUACAUGUAUAUUUUAACAAGUAAAUCAAGAGAAGGAGAGAACACAUGUCAAACAACUGGAUGGUUUGUAACUGGUACUUUUAUUCAAGGAUUUACCAGUUUCGAUCUUUCAAGACCUUCAUGGGGAUUUAAUUUCAAUAAUAAAUGAUUAUACUGAUGUACUAAAAAAGAGGAAACAGAAUGUGACAUAUGUUACUAUAACUAGACAUAUAAAAGAGUUUUCUUGGCAAAAUGCCAAGUUAUUGUCCAUAUAAAAUGUUUCAAAUGUUGGUUAACCACAGAUCAUAUCUAUCAUCAAUGACCAAUUUUACGGCAUGGUUAAAGUGUUCAUAUUCACCUAGAAUGAUUGUGUUGCAAAAAUGUAGUUGAAACUUAAAGCUUCGCAGUCUUAAAAAGGGACUCCUGACUGAGGUUUAAAAGCCUAAAAACAUAACAUUUGAAUUUCUUACAUAAUUGAGCUAGGACACUUUAAACAGAAAUAUAUGCAAAGAUAGUUAAGAAAUAUACUUUGAAAUAAAUUGAAAAUCGUAUUAUUAUGCUUUCCUUAGGCCGAAUUGAGUGAAAAGGGUUUAAACGCUUUUCAUUUUGGGUCAUUUUUUACAAUUUGAAUACAUUUGUUUUGUAAUUAUUCUGGAAAAACUAAGUGCGCGAAUGAUCUGAAAUUUUGCACAAAGAUUAGUUGUCUAAACCUACAUCAAUUGGUACAUUUAUCUGGAAAAAUUAUUUCCAGUCCAAUCAUGUCAAAAAACCUCAGUGGAGUCCCUUUAAGUUGAUUGUAGUUACUUAGGAGAAAAUUAGUUGGAUUCUGUAUUAAUUUUACAAACUAAAUUUCCUUUUUUUUUGUGAGUAAAUAUAUAGAUGUUAGUUGAGACUUCCUUCUGAAGUUGUUUCCUUUAUGUAAUAUUUUAACAAAUUUUAUCUUAAAAUUUAGUAUGGUAUUUUAGCUGCUGGUUCUUGCAGAACAGAAUCACUUAUGGUUAUAUCCUAUGUUUAAAUUGAUGUUAUCAUACUUAUGUUCCGCCGGCAGAACAAUUUCAAAUUAAUUUUAUUAAAUGAUAUUCUUUCUGAUUUAUAUUUUUGAUUAAACCUAAAAAGGUUGUUAAGAUUUUUCUUGUAAUAAAUAAAUGUUCCGCCGGCAGAACAGAAUCACUUAUGGUUAUAUCCUAUGUUUAAAUUGAUGUUAUCAUACUUAUGUUCCGCCGGCAGAACAAUUCCAAAUUAAUUUUAUUAAAUGAUAUUCUUUCUGAUUUAUAUUUUUGAAUAAACCUAAAAAGGUUGUUAAGAUUUUUCUUGUAAUAAAAUUAUAAAUAAAUGUUCCGCCGGCAGAACAGAAUCACUUAUGGUUAUAUCCUAUGUUUAAAUAUUAUUGAUGUUAUCAUACUUAUGUUCCGCCGGCAGAACAAUUUCAAAUCACUUUUAUUAAAUGAUAUUCGUUCUGAAUUAUAUUUUUGAUUAAACCAAAAAAGUUUAAGAAUAUUUUUUGUAGUAAAUAAAUGUUCCGCCAGCAGAACAGAAUCACUUAUGGUUAUAUUCUAUGUUUAAAUUGAUGUUAUCAUAUUUAUGUUCCGCCGGCAGAACAAUUUCAAAUCAAUUUUAUUAAAUGAUAUUCUUUCUGAAUAAACCUAAAAAGGUUGUUAAGAUUUUUCUUGUAAUAAAUAAAUGUUCCGCCGGCAGAACAGAAUCACUUAUGGUUAUAUCCUAUGUUUAAAUUGAUGUUAUCAUACUUAUGUUCCGCCGGCAGAACAAUUUCAAAUCAAUUUUAUUAAAUGAUAUUCUUUCUGAAUAAACCUAAAAAGGUUGUUAAGAUUUUUCUUGUAAUAAAUAAAUGUUCCGCCGGCAGAACAGAAUCACUUAUGGUUAUAUCCUAUGUUUAAAUUGAUGUUAUCAUACUUAUGUUCCGCCGGCAGAACAAUUUCAAAUCAAUUUUAUUAAAUGAUAUUCUUUCUGAAUUAUAUUUUUGAUUAAACCUAUAAAGGUUGUUAAGAAUUUUCUUGUAAUAAAUAAAUGUUCCGCCGGCAGAACAGAAUCACUUAUGGUUAUAUCCUAUGUUUAAAUUGAUGUUAUCAAACUUAUGUUCCGCCGGCAGAACAAUUUCAAAUCAAUUUUAUUAAAUGAUAUUCUUUCUGAAUUAUAUUUUUGAUUAAACCUAAAAAGGUUGUUAAGAUUUUUCUUGUAAUAAAUAAAUGUUCCGCCGGCAGAACAGAAUCACUUAUGAUUAUAUCCUAUGUUUAAAUUGAUGUUAUCAAACUUAUGUUCCGCCAGCAGAACAAUUUCAAAUCAAUUUUUAUUAAAUGAUAUUCUUUCUGAAUUAUAUUUUUGAUUAAACCUUAAAAGGUUGUUAAGAUUUUUGAUAUUUUGUAAUAUGUAAAUGUUCUGCCGGCGGAACAGGAUUAUUUAUGAAUUUAUUUUUUCUUUGCGUUAGAGUGAAUCAUAUUUCUGUUCUGCUGGCGGAACAAUUUCAAAUGAGUUACAUUAUUUGAUUUUACUUUAAGAAAUAUAUUUUUGACAAAAUUUUGCAAAGGUGUUAAAAAUUGUAUCUUGUAGUAAAUAAAUGUUCCGUCGGCAGAACAGAAUCACUUAUGGUUAUAUCCUAUGUUUAAAUUGAUGUUAUCAUACUUUUGUUCCGCCGGCAGAACAAUUUGAAAUCAAUUUUGUUAAAUGAUUUUCUUUUAGAAUUAUAUUUUGAUUAGAAAUUUUUAUGAUUCUAUCUUAUUUUUGCAUUCAUAUGAACUGGAACCAUAUUUCUGUUCUGCUGGCGGAACAAUUCCAAUGAGUUCUUUUAUUUGAUUUUUACUUUAAGAAAUGCAUUUGUUACAAAAUCUUGCAAAGGUUGUUCAGAAUUGUGAUAUGUUGUAAUUAAUAAAUGUUCCGCCGGCAGAACAGAAUCACUUAUGGUUAUAACCUAGUAUGUUUUGAUACAUGUUUUCAUACUUAUGUUCUGCUGGCGGAACAAUUUAAGACUGAACUAUUUUGUAAAAUAACUUAAUAUAUGUUUUAUUUAAUGUUCCGCCGGCAGAACAUUUUAGCAUUUUUGGAUUCUUGCUAUCUCGCAGAAAGAACUGCUAAAUGUUCUGCUGGCGGAACAAAUCAUGAUUUAUUUGUAAUAAUAUGCUGUAUUUUUAUAACAAAAUGAAAUAAAUUUUGUGUUAAAUAUA